rnacentral:ncRNA from 1 species
CACUGGCUUUAGGGGUGCUUCUGCAGGAAGCUGAGAUCAAACCCUUUGAACCUGAUCCGGGUAAUACCGGCGAAGGGAAAAGCAUGGCCCACCUG